rnacentral:rRNA from 1 species
CCUACGGGAGGCAGCAGUGAGGAAUAUUGGUCAAUGGGCGUAAGCCUGAACCAGCCAAGUCGCGUGAGGGAUGAAGGUUCUAUGGAUCGUAAACCUCUUUUGUAAGGGAAUAAAGUGUGGGACGUGUCCUAUUUUGUAUGUAACCUAUGAAUAAGGAUCGGUUAACUCCGUGCCAGCAGCCGCGGUAAUACGGAGGAUCCGAGCGUUAGCCGGGUUUAUUGGGUUUAAAGGGUGCGUAGGCGGCCUUUUAAGUCAGCGGUGAAAGUUUGUGGCUCAACCAUCGAAUUGCCGUUGAAACUGGGGGGCUUGAGUGUGUUUGAGGCAGGCGGAAUGCGUGGUGUAGCGGUGAAAUGCUUAGAUAUCACGCAGAACCCCGAUUGCGAAGGCAGCCUGCCAAGCCAUGACUGACGCUGAUGCACGAAAGCGUGGGGAUCAAACAGGAUUAGAUACCCUUGUAGUC